UCCGUAGGUGGAUAAUUAAGUCAGAGGUGAAAUCCUGCAGCUCAACUGUAGAAUUGCCUUUGAUACUGGUUAUCUUGAGUUAUUAUGAAGUAGUUAGAAUAUGUAGUGUAGCGGUGAAAUGCAUAGAUAUUACAUAGAAUACCAAUUGCGAAGGCAGAUUACUAAUAAUAUACUGACACUGAUGGACGAAAGCGUGGGGAGCGAACAGGAUUAGAUACCCUGGUAGUCC
rnacentral:rRNA from 1 species